GCAAGUCGAACGAGAAUGUAGGCUUCGGUCUACUAGUAAAGUGGCAGACGGGUGCGUAACACGUGGGUAAUCUACCUUCCGGCGGGGGACAACAGUCCGAAAGGAUUGCUAAUACCGCAUACGUCGGCGGCGCCUACGGGCGCUGUUGGGAAAGACGGCCUCUCCUUGGAAGCUGUCACCGGAAGAUGAGCCCGCGCCCCAUCAGCUAGUUGGUGAGGUAAUGGCUCACCAAGGCUUAGACGGGUAGCUGGUCUGAGAGGAUGAUCAGCCACACUGGGACUGCGACACGGCCCAGACUCCUACGGGAGGCAGCAGUGGGGAAUAUUGGGCAAUGGGCGCAAGCCUGACCCAGCCACGCCGCGUGAGUGAUGAAGGCCUUCGGGUCGUAAAGCUCUGUGGGGAGGGACGAACAAAUCUGGGGCUAAUCACCCGGAUCCUGACGGUACCUCCUUAGCAAGCACCGGCUAUCCCUGUGCCAGCAGCCGCGGUAAUACAGGGGGUGCAAACGUUGCUCGGAAUCAUUGGGCGUAAAGCGCACGUAGGCGGUCUGUUAUGUCGGAUGUGAAAGCCCUUGGCUCAACUGAGGAAGUGCAUCCGAAACUGGCAGGCUAGAGUACGAAAGAGGAUCGCGGAAUUCCCGGUGUAGAGGUGAAAUUCGUAGAUAUCGGGAGGAACACCGGUGGCG
rnacentral:rRNA from 1 species